GCAAUGUAGUGCCGCCUCCACGUGGCGCUGCCUGGGAUCACUAGUGGCUACUACUGCUAGUGAUGCUAAGAGCACUACCUACAAGAAGAAUAUAACAAGACUGUACUAACAAUUCAAGUUGAAAUAAAGAUGAAAUCUCAAGUCGUGCAAUAGUCAAGAAGCAACAGAUUUUUAAAGACACGAUGACUCUUCCUUGACUCUCAUAAACGUUUUGCUAAUUUUAAUUUUAAAAAGUAUUUUUUAAUUUUUUUGAUUAAAUAUAAUAGCGAUUUAAAUGCAAA